UACGGAGGGGGUUAGCGUUGUUCGGAAUGACUGGCGUAAGCGCGCGUAGGCGGGCAUUUAAGUCGGGGUGAAAUCCCGGGCGUCAACCCCGGAAUGGCUUUCGAUACUGGGUGCCUAGAGUUCGAGAGAGGUGAGUGGAAUUCUGAGUGUAGAGGUGAAAUUCGUAGAUAUUCGGAGGAACACCAGUGGCGAAGGCGGCUCACUGGCUCGACACUGACGCUGAGGUGCGAAGCGUGGGGAGCAAACAGG
rnacentral:rRNA from 1 species